rnacentral:lncRNA from 1 species
GAGGUAACUUGAGCUAUAUAUACUGUAUGGUCUUUCUCGUGAUCUUUCUGGUUCAUUUCGAUAAUAUAACUCAUCUGCAUUUAGGUUGUGAUACUUCAUCCAACAUAACUUGUGAUCUAAGCAUCAAGGGAUCUUCUUUGCAGUUUUCAUGUUGUUAUUGGUUCUGAGUUUUCUGAUUUAAGGAAAUAAAAUCUGUACUGGUUUUCUUAACAAAGCUUUGGAAAUCUAUUCAUAUGUGGGACUGCGGAAACAUAACAUUGUAUGUUUAAAUAGUAAUAGUACUUAGCUUCUUUAACAUCAGUAAAAAUGAUUGAUGAUCUGAUUGAACUAAACUCGAUCUUUGUUGAUCAAGGUUGCACCAGCAGCAACAUUUCCAGACACUGAAACAAAGCCAGUCGAGGUGACCAUGAUCGAAGAACCAGUGGCUGCACCACCUGCACCGGAGACUGAGACCACCGAAGAACCAAAAGAAACAACACCACCACCACCACCAGAAGUAGAAGCAGAGGUAGAGGUAGAGCAACCAGCUGCUGCUCCCGAAGCCGAAGCCGAAGCCGAAGCAGAAGCAGAAGCUCCAGUUGCACCAGUUGAAGUUGAGACCAAGGAGGUGGCAAUAGAGGAACUUAAGGCCGAUGCCGAGGAGGUGGCAGCAGAACCAGAAGCAGAGAAGCCAGUGGAAGAAGAGGCUCAAGAG